rnacentral:tRNA from 1 species
UGCAGCUUAGUGCUACAGCACUUGCCUACCAUGCAUGAGGCCCUGGGUUCAACACCCAGCACUGCAA